UGUUACUUGUAAGGAGCAAUGAUCCUCCUCCGCCGUUUCGGAGUCUCCCUCUUCACGUACAUCUUCUCCGUGUCAUUCAGAGGACGGCUUGAUCCAUCAGGCAAACUGAUGAACUUCCAGCCCCCUCCUACCACGCCUUCCCUGUGGCCCAAGCUUCUCGACCAUGUAGGCCCAUCCAUCGUCUGGUCGCCGUCUGCUGUACUUGUGGCACUUCACCUCCCCUGCCACCUGCAAACCAAUGAACCAUGA
rnacentral:rRNA from 1 species